CGGUGUAAAUUUUCGACUGUUAUUGUUAUGAAAUGAAAGAGUUUGUAUAUAGAGUUUGGACAAUUUGUGCAUUCUAAUUAGUGAAAACACAUAAGCCAAGAAUGGCCAUUGUUUUGCUGGAUAAAAGAAACAAAAAUGAUUAGUCGCUAUGAAACGACGAUAGAAAAAAACAAACUGCAUAACUUUGCUAGUUCAUGAACUGUUUCGGGUGUCGCUGUUUGGUUUUGCCGCAAAUGAACGCCAUGAACGAUUUUCAUUCCUCAAAUAUGUGUCUCGUGCAAAAAAAUACCGUGUAAAAAAUUCGUUUUGUGUCGAGAAACCGUGUUAAAAAAAAAUCCGCGCUAUCUCGAAAAAGAGUGCAAAAAUCUGCAAAAGAUUUUUUUUAACAAAUAUUUGGUUAUGGAAUUUAAUAAUACUGUUGGACAUAUUCAAUGUACAACCUGUAUCUACACUAUAAUUAAGGAAAUUCAUGGCUAUAUCAUAAAAAUAUUUAGUUUAACUUGGUAAUAUGAAAGUUUGACGACGAAAAUUUUCAAAUGAGACAUUCCACGUGCGAUAUUUAAACUAUUCGUAUCUCUGUUGAAUUUUGAAUGAAACAUAUGCUCAAAGACUGAAAGCUAAAGCCAGCAGGAUUGGACUUGCCAUCAACGUUUCGAAGACAAAAUACAUGAGAGAAAGAGGUUCUAGAGACGACAAUGUGAACCACCCACCCGAGUUCGGAUUGACGGUGACGAAAUCGAGAUGGUCGACGAAUUCGUGUAUUUGGGCUCACUGGUAACCGACGACAAUGAUAACAGCAGAGAAAUUCAGAGACGGAUCUUGGCGGGAAAUCGUGUCUACUUUGGACUCCGGAGGACGCUCCGGUCGAACGAAAUUCGCCGCCGCACGAAGUUGAUUAUCUACAAGACGCUGAUUAGAUCGGUGGUCCUCUACGGCCACGAGACCUGGACUAUGCUCGUGGAGGACCAACCGCCCUUGGAGUUUUCGAACGAAAGGUGUUGCGUACCAUCUAUGGUGGCAUGCAGAUGGAAGACGGAACGUUGCGCAGGCGAAUGAACCAUGAGUUGUAUCAGCUGCACAUUCGUUGUAUUGGUAAGAACUUUCAUGAAAAAUAACGGAUCAAAGACAAAAAUAUCCACAAAUUAGAUCCAGCAAAAGAAGUCCCAAAGUACCCACUCUCGAUGGGGGAUGCAACUACAAUGUGUCUUCUAACUUAUCGUCGUCCAUAUUUGGAUAUACUGAGUAGUUUGAACCAUUUCUUUUUCACAGUAUUCGUCUGUAUAGGACUUAUUUAUCCAUAUUUCCUGCACGAGAAUUCAGAACGAAACAAUGUGAAAGUUAUAAGGAUGAAUGGAAAGAGACUGCAUUGCAAUCAACUGAAUGCACGGCUUUUAUGCUAUCGACAUAGCCUAGAUAUUUCAAACUAUUCACUUCAAUGCAAAUAAAAACUUUGAAAUAUCUACCUGUCUCAUUCACGAAUCGCAUUCUCCCUGUCGUUCUCUGUUCAAGGGGCUUGAAAGCACACGUGACCUUGUCUCACUUUACUAUAUUCAAUUGCGCGUUAAAAUACUGGACCAGUAAAUUCUAUUCUGUACAUAAACCUUUUUUUCGGGAAUAUGUGACCAAAAAGUAAACUUCGAAUUUCAAAGCAAAUUGAACGUUCCAGGUUCCUGAUAACUAAUUAAGGUCCAACAAUAAAGUAGAAACACCAGAUAAACUUAAAACGACGCCGUCAAGUAAAGAAGCAUGAAAACAAAAAGGAUAAAACCAAAAAAAGAUGGAAGCCAUAGAGACCAGAGAUGCCAGAACAUUAUGUAGCUGAAUUUUACAUAUCUAAGAAGUUGAUACUUUGAACACCCUAACCACAAGGACCACCCUAAUUCAACUAAUAUAAAAAAAUUGGUAAGAAAGUUCUAAGAAAGUUUGCCGAAGAUACUAUAUAUCUAAAACUAACGGUUUAGGCGCAAACAGUUUUGUCUUCCUAAAUACAGCUUUGGGACCAUAGUGCAGUGCGACAAAAAGCAAUCUGUUGUAUCAUUAGGGAUCAUUGUUC